CAUGCCCCUUAUACGCUGGGCUACACACGUGCUACAAUGGGUAGUACAGAGAGUCGCAAAGCCGCGAGGUGGAGCUAAUCUCAGAAAACUAUUCUUAGUUCGGAUUGUACUCUGCGACUCGAGUACAUGAAGUUGGAAUCGCUAGUAAUCGCGAAUCAGCAAUGUCGCGGUGAAUACGUUCUCGGGUCUUGUACACACCGCCCGUCACACCACGAGAGUUGGUUGCACCUGAAGUAGCAGGCCUAACCGUAAGGAGGGAUGCUCCGAGGGUGUGAUUAGCGAUUGGGGUGAAGUCGUAACAAGGUAUCCGUACGGGAACGUGCGGAUGGAUCACCUCCUUUCUAAGGAGUAUAUGUCUUUCUCUAUUCUAUUGGUAAUGUUCUUAGAACAUUGCGCUGAACAUUGGAAAUUAUAUAGUAGAACAAACAAGAAAACAAAAAUUAACUCUAACAAUUUCUUAGAGUUAGCUGUCAAAAAAAUAGGUUAAAAUAAUUAAGGGCACACAAAGGAUGCCUAGGUAGUAAGAGCCGAUGAAGGACGUGGUAAGCUGCGAUAAGCCUAG
rnacentral:sRNA from 1 species